GUAGACUUGUGGCACUGAUGGACCCCUCCCCUAGACACACAACGAAUGGGGGGAAGUGGAAGGCAAGGAGGAGGCAGAAGCAGCAAGGAGAAUCCUGAUCCUGAGAGGCUGAGUGCAGAGCAGGAAUGAGCAGAAGAGGCUGAGCUCCAGGAGGAAUGGAGGGGAAAAAAGAGGAAGUGAGGCAAGCAGGAAGCAAGACUUCUCCCACUGCUGUCUGCGGCAAAUCACCAUGUGAAGCAGCCGAGGCUAACUUGCUAGAUACUGGGGACAUGUGGCUGGUCACCCCUGUGGAACUCCUCCUAUGCCAGAUAUGCAUGUGACAUUGCCAGGGACCACCAGGCCUCAGAAAAUCCUCCAGCUGACUGCACCAUGCAAGCAAAUCUGGGCAAAUCCAGCAGAAGAACUUCCCAGCUGAGCCCAGCCCAAAUUGCCGACCCCCAGAAUGGUGAGCUAAUAAAUGUUGUUGAAGUCUCCAA